CGCCUGUAUCAAGCCAGACCAGAGUUUCUUCCAUGUGUAGAGAGGAUUCUCCUUCAGCCAUUUUGCCAGGAGGCUUGGUGCCCCCCAGGAAGAAGGGGACUGUGGUGAUUGUUCAUUCUGAAGAGCUCUUGCUGAGGGUUGCUCCUGACCUCGACUUCAUUGCCCCCCACCAGGAUGAGUUGCUGAGAGCUGCUCUGAGAAGCUGCAUGGUACGGUGGGAAGACGACUGCUGGAGUUAUACCCGGUUUCAAAUCCUGCCUCUGCAGUUACUGACUAUGUGACUCUGGCCGUGUCAUUUGCGUCUGUGAACACCAGUUUCCUCAUCCGGAAGUAAAAUGCUCUACUGCCAUUUUAAGUGUAUCCAGAGGUGGCAGCUUUCGUCUUCCGUUUCUGAGGGAACAGGAAUCUACCACGAGGAGCCUAAGCCUCCUACCUGUCACAGCAACAGUUGGGAGGAUGCCGACAGCCGCAGCUUCUCCUGCUUUUUGUCCUGCUGCUACAGUAAGCUGGCUUUCCAUUGCACCACCGUCCUUCCAGCUCAGGAGGUAUCCAUUCAAAUUCUCUGUUUAAUCCAAAGCAACCAAAAGUCAAUUCAUCACUGCUCCUAUUUUGACUAUAUAAAAUGA